GACUCCAUGGACUGCAGCCUACCAGGCCCCUCCGUGCAUGGAAUUUCCCAGGCACGAGUAUUGGAGUGGGUUGCCACUGCCCUCUCCGAGGCUAAGGAAACCCAAAGGGCUGAUUUUCUCCGUAACAACCAUGUGGACACUGUCUGCAUUUACGUUAUAUAGUUCUUUUAAACUGAACGUUCUCAUUCUUUGGCUCCAGAUCUGGAUCUGAGCUCGGAGGAGGGAAGCCUGGAGAGAAGAGUUCCCAGCUCCCGCUGCUGCACUGGUCUUCAUUGCCAGCCCUCUCCUCCCAUGCACCUCCUGCAUUUUUAAUGUUGUGAGUGUUGCUAAUGGGCUGAUGGAGUAAAGCUUGCUUUUUGCCAUCAUUCAAGCUGCAGCCCCAGCUGUCAGCACUACUUGGGAGAGGAAAAGUGAUCCCUUUGAGUAGGGGGAAAACAGCGGGCCCUCACUGCAGCCCUUCUGCAAUUUCUCUGGCUCCAAGGCGUAUCAAUUUGCAAGAGUUUGAGGACCACUGCUUUGUGGCCAGGCAUGCUUGCCCUCCUGGCCAGCCAGGAUCGCAGGAGUGCUAAGAGGUGGGUAUCAGUUUGACCCUGGGCUUAUCUCUUUGCCCAUCGUGCUCUUGGCAUCUGUUCCAGCCCUCUAUCUUCCACCUCAGAUGGAAUCAGAUGGUAACAACUACAAACCAAUUCUUUACCUCCACUGCUGCCCUGCCCAGCAACACCCCUCAGUGCCAGCCACCGACUUCCCCGUCUCUGCAUUUCACUCACUCAGCAAAGUUUCCACGGAUCCUCCACUACGGCAGCUCUGCGGUCCCUCUCCGGUGCUGUAUGAAGGAGCUGACCUAACUAUGCUCAGAGCAAGAGAGUAGAGAGUCAUGAGUGAAUGCAGACACAUGAGACACAACCAAGCAUCUGUUCACAGGACAAAACCCCAGCCAGAAGGACUUGACUGGGCUUGGAUUGAAUCCCAGGAGCCAAAAACACUGACGGACAAGGUGCGUUUUAUUUUCUACAGCAGCUGAGACUGAGGGCCACUGGGGCUGGAAGGUAUAAACUAAUCUCCCUGGGCUAACAAUGGGUUGAGAAAGGAUUCCUAAAACAGGAAUUGCUUUCUUUAAGACCUUUCCAAAUACUGAAUGUUAAAACCAAGUUAAAUUCACAAGAAGCUAAUCUUUUAAAUAUUCCCUCUUCUACCCCUCAUUUUUACAUUCCAGAGAUUUUUUUUUAAUGCAGAAUUUCUCCUUCACUCAUAACAUGGUGUGUGCUAACAAUUUCACUAGAGACAAAAACCUGUACAGGUACUAAUUAACAACAGAAAUGACACCUCGGGGGACGUCUCUGGUGAUCUGCUGGCUAAGACUCUGCGCUCUCAAUGCAGGGGCCUGGGUUUGCUCCCUGGUCAGGGAACUAGAUCCCACAUGCUGCAGUGAAGAAGAUCCCAAGUGCUGCAACUGAGACCCAGUGGAGCCAAAUCUUUUUUUUUUUAAAGAGAAAAAUGACAUCCGGGGAGGGACACUGACUUUGGACCCCAGCAAAGAGUGGGGGGGGGUGUCAACUAAUUUUGCUGGAGACUUGGGCAAGGGCUGUAAAACCAUUAAUUUAGUCCCCUUCUUGGCCUUAACUCUUUCAGAUGCUGGGACAGAGCAGGAGGGAGAUUUCCAACUUCGCCAGCACCUUCCCUCCUCCGUUCCACAGCCUAGCAGUCUCCCCCGGGAAAGGUAGCAGCUGGAUGCCUGGAUCACCAACAAGCUAUACCGGAGGGGGAUGACAUCACCAGACCAGGGAGCUGGGUGUUUCCUAGCAAAACAAACACCGGCGGCUGUGUAAGCAAUGGCUGCAGACUGUUGGGGCAGCAGGUGUGGCACUUACCUGGGAGGGGGAGCUGCCACAUGCUGAAGCAAAGCUGUCCUUGCUUACGGGGGGAACCAGCUGGAUGGUGGGGCUCACGAUGAGCAGGGAAGAAAACUGAAGGCAUCUACCACUGAAGUUUCUUACGAGUUAAUAACACAUGCACUAAGAACACAUCUUCAAAUACAUUCUCAGAAGGCUGUCUUCCUCAAUGUAAAAAGCCCUUGAUAAGUCGGGGACCCACAUCAAUUGAGCUGAUCAGUGAGAGCGUAAACUCUGUUCUGGGGCAAGAAGCUCUUCCAAACCUUUUGCUUUUUUAGAAGCAGAGGAAUCAAAAACAGAAGGAGCCAAAACUUGCCCUGACGACCGGGUAACAUAGAGACUGGUGACACUGGAUGUAAGGUGCCAUGUUCGACAGGAAAAAAUCUCAAACUCAGGGAUUUGAGAUACUAGCCCCAGACCCCUAACACUUGGCCACUGCCCUAGGCAUGAUGCACCUCCAAGAAAUUCAGCACUGUUUAUUAGGGGUUGGACUUCCACUUUUAUUUUCAUUUUUACCUGGUUGGUCCCUGUGUUCUUAAGAACUGGCCCCAUUUAUGGCUGAAUAGAUUAUCCAUCCCCACCAUCCUUCAUAUAUUUCUAGAGGUCUCUAAUGGCGAUCCUGGGCUCAGAACAUUAAAAACUGGGAUUUCUUUUA